rnacentral:rRNA from 1 species
AACGAACGCUGGCGGCAGGCCUAACACAUACAAGUCGAGCGAGGACUUCGGUCCUAGCGGCGGACGGGUGAGUAACGCGUGGGAACGUGCCCUUUGGUUCGGAAUAGCCCCGGGAAACCGGGAGUAAUACCGGAUACGCCCCAAGGGGCAAAGAUUUAUCGCCAAAGGAUCGGACCGCGUUGGACUAGGUAGUUGGUGGGGUAAUGGCCUACCAAGCCGACGAUCCAUAGCUGGUUUGAGAGGAUGAUCAGCCACACUGGGACUGAGACACGGCCCAGACUCCUACGGGAGGCAGCAGUGGGGAAUCUUAGACGAUGGGGGAAACCCUGAUCUAGCCAUGCCGCGUGAGCGAUGAAGGCCUUAGGGUUGUAAAGCUCUUUCAGUGGGGAAGAUAAUGACUGUACCCACAGGAGAAGCCCCGGCUAACUCCGUGCCAGCCGCCGCCGUAAUAC